UUGAACGCUGGCGGCAGGCCUAACACAUGCAAGUCGAACGGUAACAGGAAGCAGCUUGCUGUUUCGCUGACGAGUGGCGGACGGGUGAGUAAUGUCUGGGAAACUGCCUGAUGGAGGGGGAUAACUACUGGAAACGGUAGCUAAUACCGCAUAACGUCGCAAGACCAAAGAGGGGGACCUUCGGGCCUCUUGCCAUCGGAUGUGCCCAGAUGGGAUUAGCUAGUAGGUGGGGUAACGGCUCACCUAGGCGACGAUCCCUAGCUGGUCUGAGAGGAUGACCAGCCACACUGGAACUGAGACACGGUCCAGACUCCUACGGGAGGCAGCAGUGGGGAAUAUUGCACAAUGGGCGCAAGCCUGAUGCAGCCAUGCCGCGUGUAUGAAGAAGGCCUUCGGGUUGUAAAGUACUUUCAGCGGGGAGGAAGGGAGUAAAGUUAAUACCUUUGCUCAUUGACGUUACCCGCAGAAGAAGCACCGGCUAACUCCGUGCCAGCAGCCGCGGUAAUACGGAGGGUGCAAGCGUUAAUCGGAAUUACUGGGCGUAAAGCGCACGCAGGCGGUUUGUUAAGUCAGAUGUGAAAUCCCCGGGCUCAACCUGGGAACUGCAUCUGAUACUGGCAAGCUUGAGUCUCGUAGAGGGGGGUAGAAUUCCAGGUGUAGCGGUGAAAUGCGUAGAGAUCUGGAGGAAUACCGGUGGCGAAGGCGGCCCCCUGGACGAAGACUGACGCUCAGGUGCGAAAGCGUGGGGAGCAAACAGGAUUAGAUACCCUGGUAGUCCACGCCGUAAACGAUGUCGACUUGGAGGUUGUGCCCUUGAGGCGUGGCUUCCGGAGCUAACGCGUUAAGUCGACCGCCUGGGGAGUACGGCCGCAAGGUUAAAACUCAAAUGAAUUGACGGGGGCCCGCACAAGCGGUGGAGCAUGUGGUUUAAUUCGAUGCAACGCGAAGAACCUUACCUGGUCUUGACAUCCACAGAACUUUCCAGAGAUGGAUUGGUGCCUUCGGGAACUGUGAGACAGGUGCUGCAUGGCUGUCGUCAGCUCGUGUUGUGAAAUGUUGGGUUAAGUCCCGCAACGAGCGCAACCCUUAUCCUUUGUUGCCAGCGGUCCGGCCGGGAACUCAAAGGAGACUGCCAGUGAUAAACUGGAGGAAGGUGGGGAUGACGUCAAAUCAUCAUGCCCCUUAUGACCUGGGCUACACACGUGCUACAAUGGCGCAUACAAAGAGAAGCGACCUCGCGAGAGCAAGCGGACCUCAUAAAGUGCGUCGUAGUCCGGAUUGGAGUCUGCAACUCGACUCCAUGAAGUCGGAAUCGCUAGUAAUCGUGGAUCAGAAUGCCACGGUGAAUACGUUCCCGGGCCUUGUACACACCGCCCGUCACACCAUGGGAGUGGGUUGCAAAAGAAGUAGGUAGCUUAACCUUCGGGAGGGCGCUUACCACUUUGUGAUUCAUGACUGGGGUG
rnacentral:rRNA from 1 species